UUGCUGUGACUGAGAGCUUCAGAGUGCUUUGCUCGGCCGAUGAAGCAGGAGGCGUGGAGGGAGGUCUUUCGUUUGGACGUCUGUUUGACAUGAGAUGGGAUUGUAUCACUGUACAGAGUAACAUUUUCAGGUGGAUUUGGGAGUUUCCAACUUGAAUAACCUUUUGGGAGUUUACAACUUGAAUUAAGUUUUUUUCUGUCUGGAUAUUUUUGUGAUUCACUGUAGCCUAUGUGUCCGCUGACCAGUGAUAACACUGGUUUAGAAAUGCACGUGAGACUUGUCAUGGAGUGUAUCUUGUGGAAACGCAAAAAUGUUUUGUGCUGCCUGGAGAAAUGAGUUGUUGCUUCCAUGGAUCGGAGUGGGACCGGUACAUAUCAAGGAUUUGCGCAUGGGACGCUGGUGGAGAUCGGUGGAGAAGGAGCCGGGAGCCCUGCUCCGCGGUGUCUGGACGAUGGCUGGGACCUUAUGGUCAGCGUGCUUUUGGGAAUAGUCUGCGCGCACACUCAAACACACACACACACACAAACAAGUGCUAACGUGAAUCGUCCCAUCGGGAAAGCACUUUGGAGUACCGGCUACCUGUCCGAUGGAUUAUUGUGACAUGGAAACUAGAAUAUAUCAGUCUUUGGAUAAAUGGAAACAAAGACAGCCUGUCCUGGAUUUCACACCCCACUCCAUGACUGCACAGAGGUGUUUGUGGGACCCUGCAGAGAUGAUCCCUGGGACCUCCCAAAGUGUGUCCGGCACCUGGAGUGUGUGAGUGUGUGAGUGUGUGUGUGUGUGUGUGUGUGUGUGUGAGUGAGAGUGUGUGUGUGUGUGUGUGUGUGUGUGUGUGUGUGUGUGUGUGUGUGUGUGUGUGUCCGUGACGGGUGGCCCACUUCUGUGAGCCAUAACUUUGGCUUACUGAAGCGUCCCCAUACUGGAAGCGUGUGUGUGUGUGUCCAUCCCGGCGCUCACCAUGCCUGACCUCUCACUGGGGUUUACGCACGCUGUGCCUACAAGAGGCUGGAUUCUCCAAGCCGCUUCUCCUCGGAAAUGGACUGUGGAUAAUUUCAAACAAGAGUGUUUUUUGGAAGCGGAGCAGGAUCCUCUCUGGAAUGUUUUUGGAUCAUUUCUCUUUCUUUUUUUUGGACAUUUGAACUUUCCCAGGUCUGUGGAUGUGAAAGCUUUGACGUACACAUGUGUAUAUGCACAUGUCGAACAGUAUGUGUGUGUGUCUAAGUGUACGUGUGUGUGUACGUGUGUGUGUGUGUCUGUGUGUGUGUGUGUGUGUGUUAACUCGAGUGUUUAAAUCUUGGUACCUCUCUCAACUUCAAAGACCACAUCUCUAGCUCAAUGAUAUGGCUGUGUGAUUCAGUGGGUCUUAAAUGGACGAUGAUACACCAGUUCCCUCCAUUUUACCCGCAAACCUCAAAUCAAACUCCUCAGUUUGUGGUUUUGGGUUUUGUCUCCACAACUAAGUGCAAUGGAAGCUUGUUUUGAUAUGUUCCACUGUCAGCCUCCAUUAAUGUUAUUGUCUGUGUUGAUGCCCAUGAAUAUUUGCCAAUAAAACAUGCAGUGUGUUUUGGCAUGGUGUGUCCCUGUGUCAGGUAGUGUCUUGUCAGUUGAUCUGUUUGGUAUUUGAACACCUGAGAAACUAAAGAAUGUCCUUUUUAUUCUGUUUCUCUUUUCUUCUCUUCUCUCUUUCUCUCUCUCUCUCUCUGUGUCUCUCUCUCCUUCUCUCUUGCUUUACUGAGCACACAUUCUCUGCUGCGGUGAGUAAACAUCUCUUAAUUAGGACUGUCAGUUCUUUAUACCUUCUGCCUGAUUUACUGCAAUCGAUAAAUCAUAAGUCAUGUUGUGUCUACCUGCGGGUGGCUUCAGGGCAGAACAGCACCUGUAUUUGUGUGUGUGUGUGUCUGUGUGUGUGUGUGUGUGUGUGUGUGUGUGUGUGUGUGUUGUGUAUAGUAGAGCGACCGGUCUGUCCAUGGUAUAUCCUGUUUAUGUUCUGUCAUCGCUCUUCUUCACUGGCCUGAUUUGGAGGUGAUGUGAGCAUCCUGAUAAGGUGCUGAUGGAUUAGUACUAGGCUAAACAAUGCCCAUGUGCCAAACCACACACACUCACACACCCGAUCACACACACCUGGGCACAUUGGGAUGAUGCCACAGGUGUGGGUGAGUUGGCUGCUUUUGAAAUACGAGCUCCUUCCUGAUCGGCAGACGAUAAUGCUGAGUAAUGAUGAUCUGGCAUCACCCAAUAUCAGGGCCUUCAGCUCUCAUUGUCAAUGAGACCCAGUGAUCAUCUCUCCACUCAUCAUCGCAUGGUUUCCUCCUAUGAUCGCAUGAUUUCCCCCAAACCAAUAAGGGUCACAUGAUCAAUGUCCUAGUGCACCCCAAGGGCCACAGAUAACUAGGAAUCAGUUCUGUUUAUCUGUCUGUCGACAGGGCGAUGAUUUAGACUCGUUGUGGAGUUAUUUAUAAGUCACUAAUCAGGUCUGGUGGGGCUCAUGACCUGAUGUGUUGUUCCAACAAAUCAGCUGGAAUUUUUUCUCUGAUGACAGUAUCUGUCUGAAAUCUAGUCUACCUUUGCAAUCUUUGAGUCCUUGAGACGUAGACGUAUUGGUUCGAUACAAUACUCGUUGUUGUAUGAACAAAUUGUUUUCCAUGUUUGUCAAGGGUAAAGUUAAUGGGUUAAAGUUUGAUGACUGAUCAGGUGUAGGAGACAUGUACAUAUUUGUGACCUUGUGUGGGUUAGUGAGAAAA